CUGCAGCCAGGAUUUUCAUCAGUCAGGCUCCUGGCUAAAGUUCAGCUUUCAGCUGCAUUUAGCCAAAGCCUGACUGUAAGCUGCUCCAG
rnacentral:pre_miRNA from 7 species